GAGGGACCACCCUCCAAGGCUAAAUACUACCUAGUGACCGAUAGCGUAUAGUACCGUGAGGGAAAGGUGAAAAGAACCCCGGGAGGGGAGUGAAAUAGAACCUGAAACCCUGCACUUACAAGCUGUGGAAGCACAUUUCUUGUGUGACCGCGUACUUUUUGUAGAACGGGCCAACGAGUUACGUUAAGUAGCAAGGUUAAGCACUUAAGGUGCGGAGCCGUAGCGAAAGCGAGUUUUAACUGAGCGUUCAGUUACUUGACGUAGACCCGAAACCGGGCGACCUACCCAUGAGCAGGAUGAAGCGAAAGUAAAAUUUCGUGGAGGUCCGAACCCACGAGCGUUGAAAAGCUCGGGGAUGACUUGUGGGUAGCGGUGAAAUUCCAAUCGAGCCCGGAGAUAGCUGGUUCUCCCCGAAAUAGCUUUAGGGCUAGCCUCAAGGUGAGAGAUACGGAGGUAGAGCACUGAAUGUCCUAGGGGGUAUUGCACCUACCGAAGACUAUCAAACUCCGAAUGCCGUCAUCUUAUACUUGGGAGUCAGACUGUGGGUGAUAAGAUUCAUAGUCGAAAGGGCAACAGCCCAGAUCGUCAGCUAAGGUCCCUAAAUGUAAGUUAAGUGGUAAAGGAUGUGGGAUUGCACAGACAACCAGGAUGUUGGCUUAGAAGCAGCCACUCAUUCAAAGAGUGCGUAAUAGCUCACUGGUCGAGUGAUCCUGCGCCGAAGAUUUCCGGGGCUAAAACUUACUACCGAAGCUACGGCAUCAGUAAUGAUGGGUAGGGGAGCUUCCCAUACGGGUUGAAGCAUGACCGUAAGGACAUGUGGACAGUAUGGGAGUGAGAAUGUUGGCAUGAGUAGCGAGAUGUGGGUGAGAAUCCCACAGGCCGUAAACCCAAGGUUUCCAGGGGAAGGUUCGUCCGCCCUGGGUUAGUCGGGACCUAAGCUGAGGCCGAAAGGCGUAGGUGAUGGACAACAGGUUGAUAUUCCUGUACUACCGAUAACCGUUUGAGAGAAGGGAUGACACAGUAGGAUAAGCUAAGCACACUGUUGGUUAUGUGUGCCCAAGCAUUGAGGCAGUCAAAGUAGGCAAAUCCGCUUUGAUAAUGCUGGGAUGUGAUGGGGAGCGAAAUUUAGUAGCGAAGUAGCUGAUUUCACACUGUCAAGAAAAGUCUCUAUCGAGGUUAAAGGUACCCGUACCGCAAACCGACACAGGUGGGUGAGGAGAGUAUCCUAAGGCCAGCGAGAGAACUGUUGUUAAGGAACUCGGCAAAAUGACCCCGUAACUUAGGGAUAAGGGGUGCCACCAUCAGGUGGCCGCAGAGAAUAGGCCCAAGCGACUGUUUACCAAAAACAUAGGUUUCUGCUAAGUCGCAAGACGAUGUAUAGGAGCUGACGCCUGCCCGGUGCUGGAAGGUUAAGGGGAUCUGUUAGAGCAAUCGAAGCAGUGAACUUAAGCCCCAGUAAACGGCGGCCGUAACUAUAACGGUCCUAAGGUAGCGAAAUUCCUUGUCGGGUAAGUUCCGACCCGCACGAAAGGCGUAA
rnacentral:rRNA from 1 species